UACGUAGGGUGCAAGCGUUGUCCGGAAUUAUUGGGCGUAAAGAGCUCGUAGGCGGCCUGUCACGUCGGCUGUGAAAACCCGGGGCUCAACCCCGGGCCUGCAGUCGAUACGGGCAGGCUAGAGUCCGGCAGGGGAGACUGGAAUUCCUGGUGUGGCGGUGAAAUGCGCAGAUAUCAGGAGGAACACCGGUGGCGAAGGCGGGUCUCUGGGCCGGAACUGACGCUGAGGAGCGAAAGCGUGGGGAGCGAACAGG
rnacentral:rRNA from 1 species